AACGAACGCUGGCGGCAUGCCUAACACAUGCAAGUCGAACGAGACCUUCGGGUCUAGUGGCGCACGGGUGCGUAACGCGUGGGAAUCUGCCCUUGGGUUCGGAAUAACAGUUGGAAACGACUGCUAAUACCGGAUGAUGACGUAAGUCCAAAGAUUUAUCGCCCAAGGAUGAGCCCGCGUAGGAUUAGCUAGUUGGUGAGGUAAAGGCUCACCAAGGCGACGAUCCUUAGCUGGUCUGAGAGGAUGAUCAGCCACACUGGGACUGAGACACGGCCCAGACUCCUACGGGAGGCAGCAGUGGGGAAUAAUGGACAAUGGGCGAAAGCCUGAUCCAGCAAUGCCGCGUGAGUGAUGAAGGCCUUAGGGUUGUAAAGCUCUUUUACCCGGGAUGAUAAUGACAGUACCGGGAGAAUAAGCUCCGGCUAACUCCGUG
rnacentral:rRNA from 1 species